rnacentral:tRNA from 1 species
GGCUUCGUGGCGGAAUAGGUAGACGAGGGGGCUUUGGAUGCCCCUGCCUUUCACGAGGCGUGCGGGUUCGACUCCCGUCGGGGCCACCA